GGGGCAGCCCGACUCAGAAAAUCCCUCCGAGAAUUAGACAGAUCUAUUCAUGGCCUGGCUAGGCUUGUUGCAGCUUUUCUGGGCUGCAGGCCUUUUCUCGGGGGCUGGUGGUGUUUGGUGCUGCUCUGCGGAAGUGUAGCCCCUCCAAAGGGCAAGCAGUCUCUGCCCCGUCAAAUGGUUUCUAGACCUCCCAAGCAGUUUCUGCUCCGCCCCGCCCCCCCAGCCCGUUCUCUCGGACUAACCUCUGGAGCCAAGGUCUCGGUGCCCAGCCCCCACCCAGGCGUCCCCCAGCCCUUUCCCAGGAACUAACCUCUGGAGCCGAGGAUUCAGUGCCCAGCCCCCACCCAGGCGUCUCAAUUUUUGGUGACUGUGCCCAUAGUUCAGAUGGUCCGUUCAGUUCUUGAUCGGCUUUUCUGUACUCCAACUUACUGCUACACUCUUCUCUGCAUCUGGAGAUUCCUCCGGUUCGUUUGAUCUUUCCCCCGUGUAGGUGACUUUCCAGGGUGUGGGAUCCCUUUCUCCUCCGCAGUUCCCUUUCGGGAGCGCCCGUCCCACUCGGAUUCACCUUCUCUCACUCUCCUCUUUUCUCCUGUUCUGCCCAGUAAUGUCACGAACUUCUUGCCAUUAUUGGAGUCUAGGUUCCUCUGCCAGCGAUUGGUUGCUGUUCUGUGCGAGUCAUUUCUUCUGUAGAUGUGCUUUUUUUGUUGUGUUUGUGGGAGAGGGCGAGCGUGUCCCCCUACUCCUCCGCCAUCGUGUCCUCCCCUACUUUUCAUCUUUAAUAGAAUAUUUAAUAGUUCCUUUAUAGGCUACCUAUUAAUUGAACAUUACAAUUAGAACAGUAUUAAAAAAGUAAAUAUAUAAUAGCCCUAAUUCAGUCUUAGUUAUUAUUUUUGUGUACUAUUAUUAAACAAAAUUUUAAUACCGUUAAAGAAAUUAAAGUGAAACUUACCUAAUUUAAGACAUUUAAAAGAAAGGCCAACUUGGUUGAAUGUUUUGUUACACUUUCUUUUAAACUUUCUUUUAAAAUUGUUUAUGAUAAAAAUACUAGAUAUUAAAUCAUAAACUGAUAGAAAUAUAAGGCAUAGCGUAAGAUGUCCAUUGUCAUAGUAGAUUUUAACUCUUUAAGAGUUUCUGACAUGGUACAGUGGGUUAAGAAUCUGACAGCUGUGGCUUGGGUCACUGUGGAGGCAAGGGUUCAAUCCCCAGUCAGGCUCAGUGGGUUAAAGGAUCUGGUAUAGCCACAGCUGCAGUGUAGGUUGAAGGUGCAUCUCAGAUUCAAUCCCUAGCCCAAGAAUUUAUCUAUACUGGUGGAUGUGGCCAUAAAAGAAAACAAUAACAACAACAACAAAAAGAUUUUAUAUUUAAGUGACUGAUAGAUAUAGAAAAUGUAACUUAAUAUGAUUAACAAGUUGAUCUAAAAGACAUCUCUAAAACAGUUAAUCCAUUUACUUAUUCAGUAAAUAUUUAGCAAGCUUACUGUGUGCCAGUCUCUACACAUGGGGCAUAUCAGUGUGCAGUACAGUUGAAGACCUCCCUUCUUUGGGAAUUUUCAUCUAUCAGGAGCAGGCAUACAGUAAACAAACACAAUAUCUCAGUAUGUUAAGAGGCAAUAAGUGCUACAGAAAAACAAAACAAGAUCAGGAUGAGAGAUCUGGAGUGCAGGGGCAAUGGUGGGGUUGCAAUUUUUAAUAAAAUAUUCAGAGAGAUGUUGAAUAGAAUAGAAUAUUCACUGAGAGGUUGAGAUUGGAACAAAAACUUGAGGGAUAUGAACAGAUUAUCCAUGCAAUAUGGGGAUGUUACCAUGAACAAUGCAAAGAAUGUUCAGAGUAAAGAACUCACCAGGGGUGGAAAUGUGCUUAAGGAAUAGCAAAGAAGCUAGAUUCCUCUUAUCUAUUGCUGAGUAAUAAAUCAUUGUAAAAUGUAGUGACUCAAAACACUAAUGUAUUUAGAUUAUGAUUUGGGAGACAGUAGAGCAGGUUUUCUGUCCUGGAGCUGCAUGGCUGAUAUCUACAGAACUUGCCUGCUUAUCUCUAGCCAACUGAAAUCUAAAUGGUAAACCUGGAGUUCCUGGCUCAGUGGAUAAUGAUGACUUGGGCUUGAUCCCUGGCCUCACUCAGUGGGUUAAGGAUCCAGUGUUGCCAUGAGCUGUGGUGUAGGUCACAGACACAGCUCGGAUCCCAUGUUGCUGUGGCACUGUUGCUCUGGCAUAGGCCUGUGGCUAUAGCUCCAUGUUGAACCCCUGCCGCGGGUGCAGCCCUAAAAAGACAAAAAGACAAAAAUAAAUAAAUAAAUAAACAGUAAACCUGUCUGGUAAUUGGCAGUCUCUUCACCCAGUCAAAAAGGCAGAUCUUAUGUCUUCACUUGGCCAUGGUAGCGUUCCCCAGAAUAACAAGAGAGCACAUCUUAGUGUACAAAUACUUUUCAAGCCUCCCUUGAAUCUUAUUUGGUAAUUACUCAUGGUAAAUAAAUCAAGUCAGCUGGUCAACCCAAAUUCAAAUGAUAGGGAAAAAGAUACCCCUCUUGAUGAAAAGAUUUUCAACAUCAUGUUGUAAAGAUAGGGAUCUAUAGAGAGAAGAUUUUUGGGCAUUUUUACAGUUUCUUAUACCAGUAUAUCUGGAACAAGGAAAUGAGAGUAGUAGGAGAUGAAUCAGAAAUGUUAAAGAGCUGGGAGGUGGGGUGAUAUGGGGCCUUGUAAGCGAUUGUGGGGACUUUGGUUUUUAUUGUGGAUGAAACAGGAAUGGGUUUUAAUAUAUUAAUAUGCUCUGACUUAUAUUUUAAUGGGAUUUUUCACUCUGCCAUAUUAAAAAUAGGCUCAGAAAUUGAUAGGAAUACAAUAAUAGUAGGAGUUUUAACACCCUACUGACAUCAAUGAACAGAUUCUCUAGAAGGAAAUCAAUAAGGCAACAGAUGCUAAAUAACACAAUAAAACAGUUAGACUUAAUUGAUAUUUUCAGGACAUUACAUCCAAAAAACCCAGAAUAUACUUUCUUUUUCAAGUGCACAUGGAAAUUCUCAAUGAUUGACCACAUUAUGGGGCACAAAACUGGUGCAAAGUCAAGAGUAUAGAAACAAAGUCAAGAAGAAAUUAUUUCAUACAUCUUCUCUGACCCCAAUGGAAUGAAACUAGAAAUCAACCACAGGAACAGAAAUGAAAAAAAAAAAAAAAAAAA
rnacentral:lncRNA from 1 species